AGUCUAUGGUGUGGGCAGAAUUGCAGUAGGUCGUUGUACCUCUCCCAAGUGUCGUACAUCGACUCAUAGUUAAACUGUACAAAAGAAGAUAUGUUAUUUCUAAGUUU
rfam:Ricinus communis cultivar Hale ctg_1100012358971, whole genome shotgun sequence.